rnacentral:rRNA from 1 species
UACCAUGCAAGUCGCACGAAACCUUUCGGGGUUAGUGGCGGACGGGUGAGUAACGCGUAGGAACCUAUCUGGAGGUGGGGGAUAACAUCGGGAAACUGGUGCUAAUACCGCAUGAUGCCUGAGGGCCAAAGGAGAGAUCCGCCAUUGGAGGGGCCUGCGUUCGAUUAGCUAGUUGGUUGGGUAAAGGCUGACCAAGGCGAUGAUCGAUAGCUGGUUUGAGAGGAUGAUCAGCCACACUGGGACUGAGACACGGCCCAGACUCCUACGGG